rnacentral:rRNA from 1 species
GAAUUGUUCGCAAUGGGCGAAAGCCUGACGACGCAACGCCGCGUGGAGGACGAAGAUCUUCGGGUCGUAAACUCCUUUCGAUCGGGAAGAAUGGCUUCCGGGUUAACAGCCCGGAGGAAUGACGGUACCGAGAGAAGAAGCCCCGGCUAACUACGUGCCAGCAGCCGCGGUAAUACGUAGGUGGCAAGCGUUGUCCGGAUUUAUUGGGUUUAAAGGGUGCGUAGGUGGUCUAUUAAGUCAGUGCUGAAAUAUCCCGGCUUAACCGGGAGGGUGGCAUUGAUACUGAUGGACUUGAGUGGAGUUGAGGUAGGCGGAAUUGACGGUGUAGCGGUGAAAUGCUUAGAUAUCGUCAAGAACACCGAUAGCGAAGGCAGCUUACCAAGCUCUAACUGACACUGAUGCACGAAAGUGUGGGGAUCAAAC